rnacentral:RNase_P_RNA from 2 species
AAUACAAGCCGGCCUAUCGUUCUCCGGGUUUCAUCGGAGGAAGGAAAGUCCGGGCAACACAGAGCAUCGUACUUCCUAACAGGAAGGUGCUGACGGCAGCGUCAGUAACAGAAAGUGCCACAGAAAAUAAACUACCUUCGAUAGCUAUCGGGGGAAAAGGUGAAAAGGUGAGGUAAGAGCUCACCGCCCCGAGGGUGACCAAGGGGGCAUGGUAAACCUUACGAGUUGAAAGAUCAAAUAAGUCCCGCUAGCUGGUGUAUCACCGGCUGUUAGGCUGCUCGUCUGAUUUUCUUCGGAAAUAAGCGGGAUGGGUAGAUCGAUAGAUCCCUGUAGUGAUACCGGGACCAGAUAAAUGAUGGGCCAUCGCGAUUUACAUCGGGAGGACAGAACCCGGCUUACAGGCUUGUAUUUUUC